rnacentral:rRNA from 1 species
GAGAUCGGGAUAACACCUGGAAACAGAUGCUAAUACCGGAUAACAANAGAUGAUGCCUAUCAACUGUUUAAAAGAUGGUUCUGCUAUCACUCUUGGAUGGACCUGCGGUGCAUUAGCUAGUUGGUAGGGUAACGGCCUACCAAGGCGAUGAUGCAUAGCCGAGUUGAGAGACUGAUCGGCCACAUUGGGACUGAGACACGGCCCAAACUCCUACGGAGGCAGCAGC